UACGUAGGGUGUGAGCGUUAAUCGGAAUUACUGGGCGUAAAGCGUGCGCAGGCGGUUUUGUAAGUCAGAUGUGAAAUCCCCGGGCUUAACCUGGGAACUGCGUUUGAAACUACAAGGCUAGAGUGUGGCAGAGGGGGGUGGAAUUCCACGUGUAGCAGUGAAAUGCGUAGAGAUGUGGAGGAACACCGAUGGCGAAGGCAGCCCCCUGGGUUAACACUGACGCUCAGGCACGAAAGCGUGGGGAGCAAACAGG
rnacentral:rRNA from 1 species